UCAAUAUUUUUGAAAGUAUCAUAUAGUUCCUACUCUAAAAAUUUCUACACCCCAAAUCUUUACCAGUCAUCCUUAUUUAUACCAAGAAGAAGAGGACGACUCCUAAAAGUAACAAGACAAUAAAACAUAAAUAUAAAUCUUAAACAUAAUAUAUUAAAUAUAAAUCUUUUCACUAAUAUAAUACAUUAGAGUUAUGAAUUUGCA
rnacentral:lncRNA from 1 species